UCUGGGCUGAGUUGUUCGGUACUUGCUGUGUCUCCCGAGUGAUUUAUCAGGUUUGAAGGGAGGAGAGACGGAGAGGGGGGAAACAACAUCAGUAGCAGGCAGGCAGCAGUUACCAGCCAGCUGGCUGGGUGUGUUAACUCCACAUCUGACCUCUAUGGGAACAGAGCAGCGUACUCUCCUUUCCUCUCUUCUCCCGGCAGACUGUGGGAACAAGGGGACAGAGCCUCACUCCCACCCCCCACCCCUCUUUCUGCUUCUUGUUGGGCUAUCGAGCUCAGGGAACCGGCCAUGGACAGAGCAGGAUAUGACAGGACAGCUUUGGCAGCGAGACCUCAGCGGGAGACCCGGGCUCUGAGGAUUGCACUGCAGAAUGAUUCUUGGACACAGCUGGCUCAGUCAGGCAGUCAUACUUUUUUCUUUUUUUUUCUUUUGUCAGUUAUUAGCCAGUCAGGUGGUUAGCUAGUCAGCCAGUAAAUCGGUCACUGGGAUCUUUCCCAAAAAAGUAACUCUUCCACUUUGUGUAUAUCCUCAAUUGAACUCUGAGGUAACUCAGGCGUAACCAUUUAGCACGGGAGGACCUGUGGGCACGGUCACAGGUGUUGCACAGCUGCUGCAGAAGAAAAAAGGCAUAUGGAGACCAGAAGGAUUCAGAGGCAAGGGAAGGGCAGAGAGGUGCAGAGGGGUUCAGCCUCUUCCCUGGCUGUGAUGGGGAGGGUUCCUGGCACCGUGAUUUGAUGCACAGAGAGAAACAAAAAUCACAUUGCCAGGGAUUUCCACUCCUUCACAGCUCAGCAGGUGACCUAUGCUGUCCUUAAAUUUCCACUGUGGGAUGCAUCUUUUGGGCUCUGGAUGUUACUGUAGAAUCAAAGAUCAGACAGAAACUCUCAGCAGAUUUCAAAAGAUUAACUUGUGAAAUCAAAAGCUCACAUGAAAAUCUAUGAAAGAAUGCUUCUGCCUUUAAAAAUGUCUAAAUGCUUUGAGUGCUGAAGUUAGGGUGCAGCUUUCUGAAGUUCAGACUGUCUUCACUCCUCUCUAAUAUCCCAGAAAUGUACGAGUCACACAGCUUAACAUGAUAAAAAUCUCCUUUUUGGAGGCAGAGCUUGUUUCAGCUUCCAGAUCUGAAAUAUCUCAACAAGGAAAUAAUUCAGAUAUGAAAUGAAAACUUGAAUCCUCCACAGGCAUGACCCUUUUAGAGAAAUAAGCUCUAGAGCCCACCAACUUUACCAGUGAGCAGUCACGUAAAGGUCUGCAUGAGUUUCUGCUCCCUCAAAAGCCAGCCACCCAUUUGCUAAAGGCACAGAGCUUAGCUAAUUGGUGAGCAUUGAUCCCUGCUAUAUGUUGUUCACAGUGGCUAAGUUCAGUGCCUGAGGUGAAAUAGUUUAUUCGACGUUGGGGAUUUGUUCCGGUGAAUGGACAGCACUUGAUGAUCCUGGAUAUGAAAAAAGAAGGAGGGAGGAGGAGAGGAAAAGAGUGACAAAAGCUUAGGCGGAAACAGAGGAAGGUGGAAAGGCUGGGAUUGUGGCUCUCUGUGUUUUCUGUGGACCAAAAGCAGGCUUUGGCUAUGCAGUGCAGUUCAGACUUGAGACAAGCUGAACUAUUUAGUUGUAUUUCCCUGAAGCAAAAACUGUCUCAGCCCAUGCACCUAGCAAAAAUCACCAUGCAUACCAAAUGUAUUUGACAACCUUUGUUGCAGCUUUAAUGUGGACUGAAAAAUGUCACUGAUUUUAUUGCAUUUUUAGGAAUGUGGUGCUAAAUGUCAGACCCGUCUGCGCUUGCAGGUUUCGUCAGGACUGCUUUGCCAUUAAUUUAGGGUCAAAAGAAAGUCAAACUUCCUGCAAAUAAAUCCCUCCCCAAACCUAUCAAGGCUUUUAUCUAAAAUAAUGUAAGUGUUUUUAUAGUUUUUUCACAACCAAAAAUUUAUCCAGCAGGUAAAGAGGAACCAGGAUGGUAAUUCUAUGCCUCACUGGGUUCCUUCAAAAACAAUAUAGUUUAAUUUGCAGUUCUAAAAAUGGUUAUCUUAAACUAGUAUGUGGUUUGAAACAAUUUUAGCUCCUGUUUCCUCCCCAUAGGCUGUACACCUGCUGAGGAGUAGCACCCAUGCGUAUGAGUUGUGUAUGCAGAUGGUGGGCCUAUUUAUUACAACAAAUAGAAAAUAAAUAAACAAAUAAAGAAAAAUGUAUAAACCUAAAAUAUAUCAGAUUCUGGCACUGAGAGAUAAUUUUUUCCAUAAAAUUAAGCAAAAUUUGUUAUCUCAUCUGACAGUAAACAGUAGAAAAAAUGUUAUAAUUAAAUAUUCUUUUGCCUUCUUGGGCCUAUUUAUUUAAUAAAAUCUACCACUGUUGUUUUAGCAUAUUUGGGCACAUUUUAGCAGUUGAUUCAGUAAAGAUUUCUGAAACUAUUUACCUGUUUGAUGUCUUUUCACUACAUUCUGAACACUGUAUUCUUCUUAUUAGAUUAGAUUAGAAGCUUGUACCUAGAAAAUGAUUUCUGGGCUGUGCCCUCCCGUGCCUACUGAACUGGUAUCAGUGUUUUACCUAAAAACUGGCUCAGUUCAGCAGGAACAGGAGUGGAGCCCACUGACUGGGGAGAUACGUCCUGCAUGACAGCAUCAAUCUACAGUGAACAUACCCCAACACAGCAUAGAUUCAGUGUUUCAGCCGACGUGUUAAUCUGAGCACUGUUUCCUCAUAGCUGCUUGGGACACUUGAUUUGAGUCAAUGCCCUUGGUGAAAAUUAAACCUGAGCUCUCCAACUUGUCAUGUAUAUGCAUAUAUGUCAUAUUUAUAUGACAGUGAGUUGUCGUUUGAAUACUGUUGCAUACUAAUGCAGCCUUCUAGUGGUUCUGCUCUGGCCUCGCGUUUAUUUCUGCAAACACCUCUCUCAGUCUUCGUCUGUCUCCCUCUGACUGGAGUUCAAUGUGAGGUAAUCCCACUGAAAUGUCGGCUAUGCCUGUGUAAUUGAUUUUACCCGGCAGUUCCCGUUUACAUUGAUUGGGAAUGUGUGCAAAGCUACUUCCUCACCACUCAGAUUACUCACAGCCAACAAAGGAAGCGUACUCUGUGGUACAUUUUAUUUCCAAAGGAGAGCAAGAAGCUCAUCAUGAGACAUGAUGAAUCUACUUUUAUCCAUCACCACCACUGAUAAUGACAGGCACCAUAAAAUGUAUUCCUGUUUCAUUGAAUUUAAGGAGAUAAAUGCUCCAUUCAAAGCUGGAGGAGAUUAUGCAGUGAAAGUACAGACUGUGGUACUAUGCUGAUUUCAGGGCAUUGUUCACACCAGGUGGUACCACCAAAAUGUUGAUUAUGAUAUGUAAAAGUGUUUAAUUACACAGAAUGUGGAAGAUAAGGAUGUAUUGUGUGUGUUAUUCUGAAUGUUAGCAUGCUUACAACUAUGUUUAACAAUUUGGGUUCUGAUUUGCUUCCUGUUUCAGGUGUAAUCAUCAUCUUUUUUAUUAUAGCACUAAUCUAAGUAAGAUUUAAAAUAAUAAAUAUUAAAUGAGCCUAGGUAA